AGUGCUUUACAUAAUGAAGAAAAGAAAAAUAAAAGACAAAAUAAGAAGUUAAAAUAAGACAACAUUAGUUAACAUAGAAAAAGAGUAAGGUUCAAUGGCCAGGGAGGACAGAAAAAACAAAAAAACUCCAGAUGGCUGGAGACAAAAAAUAAAA